CUACGGGACGCUCCAGUGAGGAAUAUUGCACAAUGGGGGGAACCCUGAUGCAGCAACGCCGCGUGGAGGAUGACGCAUUUCGGUGUGUAAACUCCUUUUAUAUGUCAAGAAAAUGACGGUAGCAUAUGAAUAAGCACCGGCUAACUCCGUGCCAGCAGCCGCGGUAAUACGGAGGGUGCAAGCGUUACUCGGAAUCACUGGGCGUAAAGGACGCGUAGGCGGGUUGGAAAGUCAGGUGUGAAAUCCUACAGCUUAACUGUAGAACUGCACUUGAAACUUCUAAUCUAGAGUAUGGGAGGGGGAGAUGGAAUUAGUGGUGUAGGGGUAAAAUCCGUAGAUAUCACUAGGAAUACCUAAAGCGAAGGCGAUCUCCUGGAACAUUACUGACGCUAAGGCGUGAAAGCGUGGGGAGCAAACAGAAUUAGAUACCCGUGUAGUC
rnacentral:rRNA from 1 species